CCACGGCCGCUACCCCCUCAACGGCUAACCCUAACGCCGUACGCACGAAGCGAGACGGCGGGACCCUGCAGGAGCUGCUUUUUUUUCAUACGCUCUACGUCUUCGAGAAACAGCAGUCCUGCCUCUCUUCAAUAUCUGAAGAGCACAUUAUGCCAUCAAGACAAUGCUCACUGCUGAAACAACACCACACGUUAACAGCAAGCGGAAGAGUAAGGUAUCUGCAGUUCAAGCAGUGCAAAGGUGUUCCUUCUAGAUCGGAUGGAGCUUGGAAGUAUUUCAAGAGGUUGUAGCUCAGGUGCCCAUGAGCCAAAGGGCCUUCAUUGUUGAAAAAGAUGUGUCGCCGGCAGACGCUGCUGUGCAAGGUGCUGCUUCUAUUGUUCUUGCGCCAGCUGUCACCCAUCACGCGGGCACCACUACGACUGGUUUUGCCACAAGCGCCUUGGUGUCCUGAUGUCGCACGGAAUUGUUGUGUGACCACAUCGUCAGCAAAGUAUGAAGCAUCAUCAUUUCCACCUCAUCCCCCCUCGCAAUUCUGGAUGGUGCAGCGUUCUCCAUUCAGCAAGAUGGAACAGUCAGGUGACCAAGCAGCUCAUAAGCACAC
rnacentral:lncRNA from 1 species